CCCUAGCCCUGAUUGCAGUGAAAAUCCUUUUUUAUCAUUUUUUUUCAAAGCAUAAAAAAGAUUGAAACGGAAAGCAGGAUUAGCU
rnacentral:sRNA from 1 species